CGGGGUUGUUUGUGUAGCAAUACAUCGACAGCCUAGUGGCGAACGGGUGCGUAACACGUGAGCAAUCUGCCGGGAAGUGGGGGAUAGCUCGCCGAAAGGCGAAUUAAUACCGCAUGUGGCCAGAAGGGACAUCCCUUCGACGCCAAAGUCGCAAGACACUUCCUGAUGAGCUCGCGGCCUAUCAGCUUGUUGGUGAGGUAACGGCUCACCAAGGCUAUGACGGGUAGCUGGUCUGAGAGGACGACCAGCCACACUGGAACUGAGACACGGUCCAGACACCUACGGGUGGCAGCAGUCGAGAAUUUUUCACAAUGGGGGAAACCCUGAUGGAGCGACGCCGCGUGGAGGAUGAAGGUCUUCGGAUUGUAAACUCCUGUCAUGCGAGAACAAGAAAGUGAUAGUAUCGCAAGAGGAAGAGACGGCUAACUCUGUGCCAGCAGCCGCGGUAAUACAGAGGUCUCAAGCGUUGUUCGGAUUCAUUGGGCGUAAAGGGUGCGUAGGCGGCGUGGUAAGUUGAGUGUGAAAUCCUGGGGCUUAACCUCAGAACUGCACUCAAUACUGCCAUGCUCGAGGAAUGUAGAGGAGAGUGGAAUUCACGGUGUAGCAGUGAAAUGCGUAGAUAUCGUGAGGAAGACCAGUUGCGAAGGCGACUCUCUGGGCAUUUCCUGACGCUGA
rnacentral:rRNA from 1 species